UACGUAGGGAGCAAGCGUUGUCCGGAAUCAUUGGGCGUAAAGCGCGCGUAGGUGGCCCCAUAAGUCCGCUGUGAAAGUCAAAGGCUCAACCUUUGAAAGCCGGUGGAUACUGUGGGACUAGAGUACGGAAGAGGCGAGUGGAAUUCCUGGUGUAGCGGUGGAAUGCGCAGAUAUCAGGAGGAACACCAACGGCGAAGGCAGCUCGCUAGGACGGUACUGACGCUGAGACGCGAAAGCGUGGGGAGCAAACAGG
rnacentral:rRNA from 1 species